GUUAAAGUGGCAGAGACCGGUAAUUGCGUAAAACUUAAACCUUUAUUUUCAGAGGUUCAAGUCCUCUCUUUAACA
rnacentral:tRNA from 1 species